GCCAGCGUGGCAUAAUGGUUUGAGUACAGGACUAGGACUCUGGAGACCAGGGUUCAAAUCCCAGCUCUGCCA